AACGAACGCUGGCGGCGCGCCUAAUACAUGCAAGUCGAGCGAGAAGACGUAGCAAUACGUUUGUAAAGCGGCGAACGGGUGAGGAAUACGUGGGUAACCUACCCUCGAGUGGGGAAUAACUAGCCGAAAGGUUAGCUAAUACCGCGUACGCUCCUUGGACUUCGGUUCAGGGAGGAAAGCGAUACCGUGGGUAUCGCGCUCUUGGAUGGGCUCAUGUCCUAUCAGCUUGUUGGUGAGUUAACGGCUCACCAAGGCUUCGACGGGUAGCUGGUCUGAGAGGACGAUCAGCCACACUGGCACUGCGACACGGGCCAGACUCCUACGGGAGGCAGCAGUAAGGAAUAUUGCGCAAUGGGCGAAAGCCUGACGCAGCGACGCCGCGUGGGGGAUGAAGGUCUUCGGAUUGUAAACCCCUUUCGGGAGGGAAGAUGGAAUGGGGUAACCCAUUCGGACGGUACCUCCAGAAGCAGCCACGGCUAACUUCGUGCCAGCCGCCGCUGUAACAC
rnacentral:rRNA from 1 species